rnacentral:rRNA from 1 species
GUCCAGACUCCUACGGGAGGCAGCAGUGGGGAAUAUUGCACAAUGGGGGAAACCCUGAUGCAGCGACGCCGCGUGAGUGAAGAAGUAUUUCGGUAUGUAAAGCUCUAUCAGCAGGGAAGAAAAUGACGGUACCUGACUAAGAAGCCCCGGCUAACUACGUGCCAGCAGCCGCGGUAAUACGUAGGGGGCAAGCGUUAUCCGGAUUUACUGGGUGUAAAGGGAGCGUAGACGGCAUGGCAAGUCAGAUGUGAAAGCCCGGGGCUCAACCCCGGGACUGCAUUUGAAACUGUCAGGCUGGAGUGCAGGAGAGGUAAGUGGAAUUCCUAGUGUAGCGGUGAAAUGCGUAGAUAUUAGGAGGAACACCAGUGGCGAAGGCGGCUUACUGGACAGUAACUGACGUUGAGGCUCGAAAGCGUGGGGAGCAAACAGGAUUAGAUACCCUCGUA